GAUGAAGAACGUAGCAAAAUGCGAUAAGUAAUGUGAAUUGCAGAAUUCAGUGAAUCAUCGAAUCUUUGAACGCACAUUGCGCCCGCCAGUAUUCUGGCGGGCAUGCCUGUUCGAGCGUCAUUUCAACCCUCAAGCACAGCUUGGUGUUGGGACUCGCGUUAAUUCGCGUUCCCCAAAUUGAUUGGCGGUCACGUCGAGCUUCCAUAGCGUAGUAGUAAAACCCUCGUUACUGGUAAUCGUCGCGGCCACGCCGUUAAACCCCAACUUCUGAAUGUUGACCUCGGAUCAGGUAGGAAUACCCGCUGAACUUAAUCAUAUCAAUAAGCGGAGGA
rnacentral:misc_RNA from 1 species